rnacentral:tRNA from 1 species
UAGCGAAGUGGUUAAAGCAUUUGGCUGCUAACCAAAAGAUUUGUGGUUCAAACCCAUC